rnacentral:misc_RNA from 1 species
GAUGAAGAACGUAGCGAAAUGCGAUACGUAAUGUGAAUUGCAAAUUCAGUGAAUCAUCGAGUCUUUGAACGCACAUUGCGCCCCCUGGUAUUCCGGGGGGCAUGCCUGUCCGAGCGUCAUUGCUGCCCUCAAGCACGGCUUGUGUGUUGGGCCCCGUCCUCCGAUCCCGGGGGACGGGCCCGAAAGGCAGCGGCGGCACCGCGUCCGGUCCUCGAGCGUAUGGGGCUUUGUCACCCGCUCUGUAGGCCCGGCCGGCGCUUGCCGAUCAACCAAAAUUUUUAUCCAGGUUGACCUCGGAUCAGGUAGGGAUACCCGCUGAACUUAAGCAUAUCAAUGGAGGA